GAUGAACGCUGGCGGCGUGCCUAAUACAUGCAAGUCGAGCGAACAGACGAGGAGCUUGCUCCUCUGACGUUAGCGGCGGACGGGUGAGUAACACGUGGAUAACCUACCUAUAAGACUGGGAUAACUUCGGGAAACCGGAGCUAAUACCGGAUAAUAUAUUGAACCGCAUGGUUCAAUAGUGAAAGACGGUUUUGCUGUCACUUAUAGAUGGAUCCGCGCCGCAUUAGCUAGUUGGUAAGGUAACGGCUUACCAAGGCAACGAUGCGUAGCCGACCUGAGAGGGGGAUCGGCCACACUGGAACUGAGACACGGUCCAGACUCCUACGGAGGCAGCAGUAGGGAAUCUUCCGCAAUGGGCGAAAGCCUGACGGAGCAACGCCGCGUGAGUGAUGAAGGUCUUCGGAUCGUAAAACUCUGUUAUUAGGGAAGAACAAAUGUGUAAGUAACUAUGCACGUCUUGACGGUACCUAAUCAGAAAGCCACGGCUAACUACGUG
rnacentral:rRNA from 1 species